rnacentral:lncRNA from 1 species
CCCAAUCCUACCUACUUUGAAGAACUCUUGUUUUUCAGUCAAGAUUCCUCUUGGAAUUAACGAGAUUCAUAUUGCUUGUUUAGGUGGGAAACUUCUAUUUCCAGAACAUUUCCUUCUCAUGGCUUCCAGCCGCAUCCCACCCCCACUAUUUCCCAAGGUUAAGCCCCACUUGCUGACCAUUCUUACUUUCACAGUUAAGGGUUUCUUGUGGGCCUAAAUGGUAAGGGUGGUUUGAGUAUAAGUGUUUUCCUGCAGAUUCCCCCCACUCCCCAUUUCUCUUGUUCAGGGUCAAGCAGUCUAACAGUUAGUGGCCCAUCACCCCCUCUGGGUGUUGGGAGUGUUGUGUGGCCUGUCUAAAACAGCCCCCACCCUCCUCAACAAUCUUAACUUGGACAGUUUAUCAACAUAACAAGAGGCUCUGAGGUCAAAGAACCACAUGUGGGGCUCAUUGGGAUGAUAUGGGGGAAACAACACGUUUCCAUCCUUCAUUCUUAACCUGUCUCAUCCCUAGACCAGCUGAAGUAGGCUCUCACUCCCACCCUCCAUCCUCCUGGGUCAGUAUUUUAAAAAUCCAAGAGAUCCUAACAUGCCUUAGACUAAUCAGGGUGUGGAAGUAGGCCACCCCAGCUAAACCUAGAGGGCUGCACCCGCCACCAACGGAAUCCACCAGAGAGCAGCUCUACUUUUCAAGGGUCCCCUUGAUUCUCCAACUGCCCGUUAAUUUAUCCUGGUUAGUGUGUCAUACAGGAGGGUGCUCAAAAGGUGACAGACAUCCCAUUUAGUGAGCUCAGGUGUUGUGCGGCCCUCGUUCUUUCUCAUUUCAAUUUAGAUAGCAGCUUCUCGGGGAGAACUACACCAAAUUGACGUUACGUGUGAAGUGAGAUCAUAAGAG